UGGAUUGGUUCUAAAGUACUAUUUGGUGAUUGACGUUUCAACUAGUAAUAGCUUUUUGUAAGAUCAAUAUUUUAUACUACUUGAAACGAUACGUAUACUUGCGUGUGCAAUUUUCGAUCAACAAUAAUUUGUUUAGCAUAAGGAAACCACUAAAAGAGCCCAAAUCUGAUACCAAAUGAUAAGAGAAAUGGAGCAAGAUUGAAUUCAAGUUGUUUGGACAAUGAAAAAGCCGAAUCGAAGAAGAAAAACUCUGUCUUGGAGAAUAAGCAACCUGAAACGCAAAAAAUAAACUCAUAGGAGUUAUAUGAAAUCGGCAAUAAUAAAACAACUAAAACAAGAAAUUUAAGAACAAAGAUUAAACAUCCAAAACAAUAAAGAAAGAAAGAAAGAAAAAGGAAAUUAAAAGAUGAAUGAUGAAUCGAAUAAACUGAUAGCAGGGUAAAUGUUUUAUUGAACCCUUCGAGGAAGAUUUCCCGACAAGCUCAACCAAUGGGUCUAACCAACCCGCUAAAGUCGAACUCUAGUAAAUUGGAAGGUGAAGUGACUCAUAGAAAAUUUACUUCUAAGAAGAAUGAAAGAGAAAUCUCACAAAAGAGUUAAAAUUUUUAUUAAUGAAUGAAUGAUGUUUAAUGAAUAAUGAAGAGACUUUUAUAUAGGCUAAUUAAUUACAUCCAAAUGAAACUCUUAAGAAUAAUGAUACUCUAAUUAAUCUAAACAAAAAGUAGUUUUAGUGGAACUAAACUUUCUUGUUAACUAAAAAACAUAAAACUCCUAAACAACUUUAAAUAUUUAAAAUUAUCCUAAAAUUUAGAAUAAAUAAAUAAUAAAAUAUAAAACCUAAUAAAUACAAUAUUGAUGUCAUAUAUAAUUAAAACUAAGCCUUAAAAUCAAAUUCAAGAUGAUUUAAACUCGAAUUAAAACUCGAAACUCGUAAUUUUCAUAAUAAUCUAGCCAAAAAAUUAUACUAGUAUAGUCUUCACUAAACAUUCAUAACUUGAGCUCUCGAACUCUAAAUCGAGUGAUUCAAAGUAUAUUUUGAGGUUAAGAGAUAGAUCUUCGAUCGAUAUGUAGACAUAUUGACCUAGAAAGGCUUAGAUCCCUUUUAAAAAUACACCGCAAGUCAAUUGAUUAUAGCAUGGGUUAGGCAUGUGACCUUGAUUGGACUCAAGUGUAAAGCCUAAACAUGUUAACAUUUUCCACGUGAACUUGUCAUUAGGAAUUAAGCUCCUAAGCCCAUGAACAAACUUAGACCCUUCUAAUUGAUCCUCGCUCCUUGGUGUUUGGAUGGUUUUUGGAAUACAUAUUAAAAAAUCAUAGUUAUUUGAACGAAAUCAAAUUUUAUUUUUUAUUUAAUUUAUAAAUAAUUUUAAUUUUUUAUGAGGUAAAAAUAUAUUUCUAUAUAAAAAAUUAUUUUUUAAAAAAUACUAUAUAAAAUUUAUUUUUUUUAUUUACUCAAAAAUAACUUUUUAAAAAUAUUUAUGAAAAAAGGACUCAUCAAAUAGUGUUCAAAAGUUAUGAAAUAAAUCUUAUUUUGUUAAAAUAAAUCCAAAACUCAAAAUCCAAAAUUAGUAUGAAAAAAUUAAAAAUUAUAUUAAAUCGAAUCAAAUAAUUAUGGAUGAUUUAAAAAUUUUAAAAAAUUCAAUGGAACCAAAUCCAACUCACCAGAAACUCACAUGGUUUUGAUUCCAAAAGUAAUAGUUGGGCCAAAGCCUAAUGUCACCAUCCACAGUACAGCUGAUUGCUUCUCAAGGUCAUGUUAUCAUCUUCUGAUGAGUAGGUAUUAUAUGGAAAUGAUGGCCUUCCAAGGUUGCAAGCAUGUUUAGAGCAUGAAAGAAAAUGGGAAAGUAACAAAUCUGAAAUCAUGUCCCUCUACCGGUUUGGGUUGCUUGGGGAGAGCGUCAUGCACAUGCAGGAUGGUAGGUGUUGGCAAUGUUCAUUCACCGAACUGAGAUUGGGAAAAAAGCAUGAAUGACCCACAUUCCAGUCCUUUCACUUUCACCCCCGCAUGGGGCUAAGGACAUCGCCUUAUCCCUCAAUUACACAAUGGAAAGGUCCCAAUCUCACUCUAUUUUGAUUUUGCAUGCAGGCCCAUUUUGAAAAAAGACGCUCAACCCUCCAGGUUUAGGGUCAAAGACAGCUACAGAGCUUGUCUUUUUCUCCAAAAUGUCUCCAACAUGUG
rnacentral:lncRNA from 1 species